GACGAACGCUGGCGGCGUGCUUAACACAUGCAAGUCGAACGGAAAGGCCCUGCUUUUGUGGGGUGCUCGAGUGGCGAACGGGUGAGUAACACGUGAGUAACCUGCCCUUGACUUUGGGAUAACUUCAGGAAACUGGGGCUAAUACCGGAUAGGAGCUCCUGCUGCAUGGUGGGGGUUGGAAAGUUUCGGCGGUUGGGGAUGGACUCGCGGCUUAUCAGCUUGUUGGUGGGGUAGUGGCUUACCAAGGCUUUGACGGGUAGCCGGCCUGAGAGGGUGACCGGCCACAUUGGGACUGAGAUACGGCCCAGACUCCUACGGGAGGCAGCAGUGGGGAAUAUUGCACAAUGGGCGGAAGCCUGAUGCAGCAACGCCGCGUGCGAGAUGACGGCCUUCGGGUUGUAAACCGCUUUCGCCUGUGACGAAGCGUGAGUGACGGUAAUGGGUAAAGAAGCACCGGCUAACUACG
rnacentral:rRNA from 1 species